rnacentral:lncRNA from 1 species
CAACUUGAAUCCCAAAAUUGCGGUAAAAAACGGUCAUCUGAUUUUCCUGGUAAAAAACAACCUUACUUUGAAUUUUCGCCAAAAAUCUCAGUUUGUAGAAAAAUCUUCGGAGGAUGAGUCGACGUUCCUAAAAUGAAUCAUGACAUGACAGAACUUUUAAUUUCUGAAAUCGAGUUUAAAUUCGCGGUUAAUUUCAAUCUGGCGCGAUUUUAGCGUAACCUAAUCUACUUGAUAGCUUUUAUGAACUUUUAGUGCAAUUGACCAGUGGUCGAUUAUUUUCGAGCCACAUUGUGCAUCUUUGACUCAUUGGUGACUCUCGGUUGUCGUGAAAAUCUCAAGGUUUCAAAUACGGACACAUGGUACAGAAUUGACAGAAAAAUUGGUCUAGUGUCGUUCGACGAGGAUUUUGCAAUUAGGUGGAAUCACACACACACUAAUCAUAUACCUCUGUUGAACUAACCUAUCUCUAGUCUUUGGUCAAUUUUAAUAGUGUCGUAAUGACUCUUACAGAUUAGCACGGUUGAAUAGUCGAUUCUUGAUCUUAUUCUCGAAUCUAUUGCGCUUAGAUUCCUUAACGGCUUCACCUGAUAGGCUAGUUAUCUCGUAAGUGACCAACUCAGAGAAAAGAACUAUCAGCGUAUCGAUGAAAAGCUCAGCUUAUUUAAUCGAAAACAUAACCCAAAAAUCAAGAUGUCACAAAUUUGGCACACAAUCCUAAGAUAGAAGUAAAGAAAACAAAGCAAAGAAGAGCCCACAACUCAUUGGGUGUUUAUACAAUGCCAAAACAACUUGAAACAUAAAUCAAGGAAAUGAAUAGUACAAAAAUAGGGUUGGAUCAGAUAUCAACCAUUCAUCGUCUUUAGGUCUUCAAGACAGCCACCUCCAUGGGUCUAUUCCAAUUCUUUCAUAUGACUAAACUAGGAUGUGAAUUAAAAAUGAUUUUAAAGUCACUUAUUGUAAUCAAACAGGUAAUUCAAUCAACCAACAUGUCAUUUCACAUUAAACAUCCAAAGAGAAAUACUCCAACAAUCAAGAAUGGCCUCAGGGUUGGCCUUUGUAUUCAUGCAACGAUCCCUUUAGGACGCCUAUCUGAUUCAUUUAAAAUGACUUGUAGCCAUUAGCCAUCAUUUGUAUUCAUGCGUGGCGACCAAUGUUAAAAGUUCCUAAAGCAGGUUUUAAGUGAUAUCUCAAAACAUCCCAUGAGUACAUGCAUCGCACCUAUGUAUACAUCUAAAAAUCGCAUGCAUAGUUGAAAGUAAACAUGCAUGCAAGCCAUUGUGCCUUGGUUCUCAAUCAAUCAAACAAAUUUAUGAGCCGACACCCGAUCACUUAUUUAGUCAUCAUGCUCCAAUCACAAUCACAUGCACUCUAUAAAAGCAAAUACAUCAAAAGCUAAAAGAUUCUAGUGAUGUCCAAAAAUCAUUUGAUUUACAAUCAAACAAUGGGUUUAAAGAAAACUGUCAAUGACAUGGCAUAAUUAUAUCAUGUCUAUGGAACACAUUUAGCCAUUAAGGUUACCUUGGGUGCUUCGCAAGUGUUCUAAAUGUGGUCCAAACCUAGACAAUAUCAAUACCAACUCUAAGACAUAAUUUGGAAGUUUGAAUAAAGAAUGCAAUGUGAAAGCUUCUAUGAAAGGGACACAUCAUUUCAUCAUAGCUAUGAGACACAUUUAAUUGCUAAGGCUAACUCGAGUGUAUCAAUGGGUACAUUGAUCAAGCUUCCCAGGCAUUUUAAUAUGACUCAAAAUUAAACAAAAUUCAUGUGAAACCAUUAUUCAAACCAUGCUAAAGCAUUUUUAAGAAUGAAAGUUUCCCACGUGGACAUCACAUCAAUGAAAAAUAGAUUCAGAUCAAUCAAAACAUAAAAUUUAAUAUUAUCUUGUGACAUUUGAGGGUUUUGAAAAGCAUGUCAGAAUGCUUUUCAUUUUUUGAUAUUUUUUGUGUAUGGAGUUCGGACCAUGAAGAUUAAAACUCAUGAAGAACCGGUAACCAAUUCAGCAUAUGUAAUUUCCUAAAAAAUGCCACAACAAAGACAAAUCAUAAAAGAAAAAACAGAGCAUGUCGAAAUAGGGCAUACAAUAUUCAAGCAAUUGAAGUAUGGUCCAUGAAAAAUUGGUCCUAAAAAAAAUCACAGUACAUCAAGCACUCAAUAAGGAAUAACUUCCAUUAAGGAAGUUUCCUAAGAUAAGCUACACAUGAAUUUCUAAAAAUAUAAGAACACAAAACAACACAUUAUGAAUAGUCCCGUGCAGCAAGAUGUUCAUGCAUGUUAAUAGCAUUUUGUCCUAGCAAACAAUGUUUAAAAAUUCCCAAAAAUUUACCACAACAUAGUCUUAUAAAUAGCAAACAAAUUCAAUGAAGGACCUGACUUCAAAAACCUUAAGGAACAAUUCACACAAAAAUGACAAAUGGUCUGGUUCAGUAAGGGCAGGACAAGCAUUCUGAAUUUUGGACUUGAUAUAUUCUAGAGCGAACUUCACAAAAAUGGAAAAUGGGUCAAAGGGCAUGCAAUUGAGACAAAAUUGGUGUCAUUGGAAAGCUCAAGAUGUGCCAUAAGGCUUUUUAAGAGACAUCGAGUUCAAUUAAGGUCAAUUUCAUGCAUAAACAAUGACAAUCGCAAAAAUGUGUAAAUUAUUAAUAAAAAUGGUAGAACAUGAUGCCUGAGAAUAGGCUUGCUAAACCAUCUAAAUGAUGCAUGAAAAUUGUGAUAUUUAAACACGACAUAGGGCUAAAUGCAAUAAACAAAUUUGAUUGAAACAUUUAACCCUAUAUCGAUGCACAAAAGAUCACACGGGUUCAUGAACAUCAAUAGGUAGACUAUCACCAAACUCCAUAUAUGGCAAAAUACAAAAUUUUCAGAAUUGAUAUAUCAACUUUGCAAGUGGUUUUCAUAUAGCAAAUGACCUUCAUACGACACGUGCCAUACACCGUUUCAAAGCUCAUGACGUUUUUUAAGUAUCUCUAAAAGGCAUCAUGUAAAAAUUAUGCUCUUAAGGACCCAAUGGAAGACAUCUUCAUAAAGACAGAUCAUUCAUUAUUGCAGCAAGAAUUGGAUGAUCUUCCUUGAUCUAAUUACAUGAUAAAAACCUACAAAAAUUCAUGCAUAUAGAUUGAAAUGUCCAAAUCAUUUCCAGCAUCGAAGUCCAAUUUGGCUCAUAAAAAUCUAUAUGAAAAUAGGAAAACAGAACAAAACUUCCAACAUCACAGAUUGCAGCAACCAAGCAUAAUUUCAUGCAAGCAAAUGACCUAGUUAACGACAACCGUUUGACAUGAUCUAUAUCUGCACUAUGACUUUCCUGGAGGAUGUAAAUUCAACGGAGUAUGUUUACUAGUUCAUUUAUAGACAAAUACACAUCGGGUUCAAACAGGACAAAACAAUCUAAGGACAAUUUAUUAGAGAUUUCCUUGACUAAAUCUACUCCAAAAAAUCUGGAAAAAUAUAUGUCGUGACCAGAGCAAUUUCGACCAACUUUCAUGAAAUAAUUUUAACCAUAAAAUCAGAGCACAAAAACCAGCAAAAAAUCAACAAACAAUGCAGACCGCGAAUCAACAAAACAACAUAACAUUUGGUAGAUUUUGGACUCAACUUUGAGUAUAUGAAAACUAUAUCAAAGGAGCCCUGUUUAGGGUGUUCUAUGGCUUGUGAGAAAGAUAUUUGAAUUGCUUCCGACUUUCAUGAAGGCAUCGAACACAGAAAAGCAUGUUUGCAAGCUGAUAUUGAGUGGUUUCUCAAAUUAGUCAUCUAAACAUCCGAAAAUUGCAGAAUCAACUCAUCCAAUCAAUCACGCAUACCUAAGCUAAUCAAGCUCAUCUUAAGCUAUUCUAAGGCCAUUCUAACAUCUUAAACAUGUUGAAAUUGUAGAACUCAAACCCUAGGGUGAGCUCUAGCCUUGGUUGUCUAGAACAACCCUGCUUCAUGAAGCUCCGAAUUGAGAAGUUACCUUUGAUACGAUUUCAGCGAUUUGAGCUCAAUCGGACAACAAUCAAGCCUUCAUAGUAACUUGAGGAUGUAAAGGGAGCUUCGUAGGACCUGAGGACCGCCAGAGGAGGGUCGAACGACGUCGGAUCACUGCCAAUCAGCAACUGAUGGGCGAUCCGCUAGGUUGAGGAUCGUUGGUAAAGAAUCAACCAUUGGAGCUCGUCCGGUGGAUAUUCGGCUAAGUCCCGACAACCACAAGGUCGGGGAUUCACUAAUGGACGUCGUUGGGAUGAUCAGAAGGGCUCGAGAGGUCGGCAGAUCGUCAAUCAAGGUUAGAGGAACUAGCGAACUACCUUAUCGGGUCGAUCGCUGGUUUGCUUGACUCGCAGGAAAGAGAACGCCAAAUGGCUAGAUUGGGGACUCGCCAGAGGUUGGGCUAACCACCAGGAGCUUGGGCGAGAUGACAACGUCGCCGAGAGGCUGGGUGGAGACCAUGAAACUACCGACGUAAGGCCGGCAGGUGCCAAAUGGCGAACUGGCAAUAGGCCGAUUUAAGAGAGAGAAUGGGCGUGAAGCAGGAGAGAGAGAGUUUUUAUUAGAGAACUUAUUGGAUUUUCAAAUUUGGAAUUUCAUCAAAUGAGG